rnacentral:rRNA from 1 species
AACGAACGUUGGCGGCGUGGAUGAGGCAUGCAAGUCGAACGCGAAAGCCGCAAGGCGAGUAAAGUGGCGGACGGGCGAGUAACACGUAAUCAAGCUACCUGCGAGACGGGGAUAACUUCGGGAAACCGAAGCUAAGACCCGAUGGUCUUCUAGGAACGCAUGUUCCAUGAAGUAAAUGGGCGGGAUCCUCCGGGAUCGCCUGCUCGCAGAGGUGAUUGCGGCCCAUCAGCUAGUUGGUAGGGUAAUGGCCUACCAAGGCAACGACGGGUAGCCGGCCUUAGAGGGUGGUCGGCCGCACUGGGACUGAGACACUGCCCAGACUCCUACGGGAGGCUGCAGUCGAGAAUCUCCGCAAUGGGCGAAAGCCUGACGGAGCGACGCCGCGUGGAGGAUGAAGGCCU